rnacentral:rRNA from 1 species
UACGGGGGGGGCAAGCGUUGUUCGGAAUUACUGGGCGUAAAGAGCGCGCAGGCGGUCGUUCAAGUCGCUUGUGAAAGCCCCCGGCUCAACUGGGGAGGGUCACGCGAUACUGAUCGACUCGAAGGCAGGAGAGGGAAGUGGAAUUCCCGGUGUAGUGGUGAAAUGCGUAGAUAUCGGGAGGAACACCAGUGGCGAAGGCGACUUCCUGGCCUGUUCUUGACGCUGAGGCGCGAAAGCUAGGGGAGCGAACGGG